AACGAACGCUGGCGGCAGGCUUAACACAUGCAAGUCGAACGGGUGCAGCAAUGCAUCAGUGGCAGACGGGUGAGUAACACGUGGGAACCUUCCUAGGGGUACGGAACAACUCAGGGAAACUUGAGCUAAUACCGUAUACGUCCGUGAGGAGAAAGAUUUAUCGCCCUUAGACGGGCCCGCGUCGGAUUAGCUAGUUGGUGGGGUAAUGGCCUACCAAGGCGACGAUCCGUAGCUGAUCUUAGAGGAUGAUCAGCCACACUGGGACUGAGACACGGCCCAGACUCCUACGGGAGGCAGCAGUGGGGAAUCUUGGACAAUGGGCGCAAGCCUGAUCCAGCCAUGCCGCGUGAGUGAAGAAGGUCUUCGGAUUGUAAAGCUCUUUUGCCAGGGACGAUAAUGACGGUACCUGGAGAAUAAGCCCCGGCAAACUUCGUGCCAGCAGCCGCCGUAAGAC
rnacentral:rRNA from 1 species